CAAAAGGAGGUUUGCUGUCUGGCUGAAGAUGGACCAUGUCUCAGGUCUGGAUAGAGACCUCUGACAGGCCCCACUGAGGACUGAAUGGACAGCUAUAUCUGAUGGAUGGCCCUCCUCCCCCGCAAAUCACAAAGCUCUCCAAGGGAGACAGCGACAAAAGAGAGACAUGACUGGGAGGAUAGUGGUGACAAGAGACAGCGGUGACACUCCAAGUACAUCCUGAGAGCCUCCUUGUCGAACCAUGUAAAUCCAAUUGCUUCAGAGCUGUUUGCACGACACUUCACAAUAUAGAUUGACAAUGACCCGAAGCAUGCUGCAAAAACGGAUGCAAAGAGUUGGGUAUCAUCCAAUGGCAGGUGAUCCAAUCAUCAAUCACCUGACCUGAA